rnacentral:tmRNA from 1 species
GGGGACGACCUGGCUUCGACGGGGGUCGAGGAGCUGAGGAUGGCAUGCCGAGGUUUUUUCAGGUCCUCGUUAAACAACUGGAAACACUAAUUAAACGCAGACAAUUAUGCGUAUGCAUUAGCUGCCUAAUUUAUUAGCGUAGCUCGUUCACUCAGGGUGCGCCACACAUUUUGAGCUGAACGUCGAUCUUGUGGCUAUAUCCCAGGACUUGCUCGAGGUCCUCCGAUGAAUCUUUCGAGCUGGCUUUUCGGGGUUUUGUUUGCUGAACCUCAAAAAGCGAGAUUGAAUCAACAAACUAAGCAUGUAGAAGUUCUUGGUGACUGUCUCUCGGACGCGGGUUCGAUUCCCGCCGUCUCCACUA